ACAACAUCUUUUUUUCUUUUUGUGUGAAGGAAUGGCGUCUGAGUCCAUUCUUUCGAAUAAUUUCAACUGUGUCCUCAUACACCUCAUGGGUUUUCACCAUCAAUCUGAGCUGAUUUCUGUUUACUAUUCUAUAUGAAUAGCUAACAGGCGGUACUGAGCUGUUGAGUAGUUCAGUGAGCUUAGUUAGGUCCAUUAUUCCAUACAGUAUUAUCGGCGGUGGUUUGCUUACCCUUUUAGUGGGCUUGAUAUUUUCCAAUAUUUCAUUGGUCUCCUCUGUUAAGUCGAUUGGUUCCACUGUAUCUAUUAGAGGUGUUGAUGGAGUCCUGUGGAUAAGUCUUUAGAUUAUUUUCAUGUGGUGGACUGUCGGACAUCUUUCUAUUCGCGCGACGGCCUUUGUACGGUUGUUGCAGCGGUUUGCGGACGGCGUCGUCGCGUAGUAGCACGUGACUGCAUGUUUUUAAAUCGCUGUUGUUACUGUUGUUGUUGUUUUCAGCCUUUUGAUUUUGUAGAGUAUUUUAGUUUAGCAAAACUGGUCUAACAAGUAUUGCUAAUAUAACUCCAGCAUUCGGGCGCCCGUUGUGGUCACCCUGAGCCGAAGGCCCUCGGUGAUGCCCAGCUCGGCUAGGCUUACCGCCUCCUUAGCUUUAGCGAGCACGUCGCGGUACGACACGCCCCUCUUGACCGCGUCCGGCUGUUGCGUGAGUACUACUGCUGCAGUCUUGGGGGCGCAGAGUUGCGCCGCAGCGGCUCGCUCUCUGCGCCACCGUCUUUGGGCCUUCUUUUUGGCCGCUUUGGCCGCCCUCCGUCUCUUUUUCUUCUCCCCCACCACUUGCCACUCAGACUCAGUGGCAGGAGAGGUAGGGGCCGCAGACGGAGUCGACUUCGGAAGGCGUGUCGCCGCCACUGGUGCCGACGGGACCGGUGCCGCUGUUGGCACCGGGGUCCUUUGCGCUCGGACCGCUGUUGCGGCCUUGGGGUUUGGCUGGGCGGCCCGUUCGGCGCCUCGAUAGGGGGCUUGCUCGGUGGUUCCCUUCUGGGCGGGGGUGCCGCUGCAGCCGCAGCCGCAUAAGAGGCCCUUUGGACCGCUGGGGGCUUCGGCGCCGCGAGGGGGGACCCAGAACCCUGCCUUCCAGGACGGAGAAGCGCGCCUGGAAGGCCGCCAUCUCCUGCCGCAGCAGGGCAGGACCUGGCUCUCCAAAGGGGAGGACUGCGGUUGCUGCGGAGUGGUCCUGCUGCGUUCGGCUUCCUGCUCUCUCAUUUUUCUCAAUUCCGCCCGGAGACUUUUGUUCUCCUUCAGGAGCGACUCUAGGGCGGCUGUGAGACAAGCCACCUCUUCUUGUAGCUUGACCAGAUCGCUCUUUGGAGCCUGGCCGAAGCUUACUUCAGCUGCCGCAAUUAUAGAGGCGGAUGCCGAAACUAUCGCCCUCUGCCGAUUGGCCUUGAGGCGCUUUAGGGACACAUCUCUGAACGCGGCCGCCACCGUCUUGGCGAAAUUGGCCCUACGCUCCUGGUCGGAGCCGACGGCCGCCGCGUCCUCCUCGGAAGACCUUUGUUGAGCUGCUCCUCCGUUGUCCUUGGGUGCCUCAGCAACCCUCUCUUUAACCGUUCUCCGGUCGGCCAUUUUGGCCGAGGCCCCGCGGCCACCGGAGGAAGACCCGUGGUCGUUCUUCUUCCUCUAAAGGAACGCCUUGAGCCGGUGCUCCUUCUUGCUUUGGGGGACCCUGAGAUCACCCGCAGCUCCAUCGUGGAUGCGAACCGCUGGAUGCUGUCGUCAUCUUGGUUUUUUUUAUUAUUUUUUUCUGAGGUAUCCAUAAAAGUUCCCACGAGUAUAAAACUUUGUUUAAAUAAAAAUGUUUGUGGUUCGCACUAAUGACUAAUUAAGCUACACAUUUUCCAAGCUUACCGCCUCCCUCACGGUGCACCGCCGCUUGGAGGUUUGGGGAUUUUUUUAGAGAAAUUGAUCUUCCUCGCGGCCCGGGCGGUUAAGCCAAGACCCUCGGCCCCUUUCGGAGAGUCAGAGACAUGACCAUGACGGUCUCCUCAGAGGUUACGAGAUUAACGGUGGUGGGAAGGAUAUCCCCCCACCUGCCCGGAGGCAGGGUAGGUGCACACGGGGCCCGCUCUUGCACCCGCACGUAGUCUCUCUGCUCAGCAGAGGGACCCGCGAAGGGCGAUCCUCCCUUUCAGGAUUAACUUGCACUCCUCCAGGGAUGGCCGCCUCUGGGCCCCACCGGACAAAAUAUUAGCAUGCGGACACAGACUACCCUCAGGAAGAGCCCCGAGGGGUGCCGGCGUCCGCACCCCAGGGUGCACCACGUGGAGGUUUUCUGCCGCAUCACCAAUAAAAGGCGGGUCAAAAAAAAAUGGCGGAAAAUUGAGCUCAAUUUUUAAUAAAGAAGUUGAGUAAAUCCGCUCUAAUGAGCUUGUUGGCUGAGAUUUGAUAUUCUCUUUAUUUUUGCUGGUAUCAUCUGGUGUGUUCCAGUGGACUGAGUGUUGUUCAGCAUGGUAUAGAAUAUAGAUUCCAUACGCUUUAACUCUGGAUUGUUCGGUCCUGGCUCAACAUUUACAAAAAACAUAUUUAGAGGUUUUUUGUUUCGUCUUGACCGCGUGCAAAUGAUAUCACCCCUUACUUUAUUUAAAGAUAAAGAUAGUUUAUUUGUUCAAAACAUGAGUAAGCAGUACAAACAGGUUUGCAAAGCAGGGUGUUAUAAAAAAAUCUGAGUUUUUGCAUGUUUUGCCCACAAGGGCGUGCAAAAGUUAAAUAGAAGAUAAUGCUUACAUUUCUAACAAAAAAUUGAGAUCAAAACAAUAAUUUAAAAAAUGUGAAGAGUAAAUUAAACUUAAGGGUAGGUACAUAUAAACUAGAUUGGUAUUACCUAUUUAAGAAUUCGUUAAGAUUAUAAUAACAGUUUUCUAUUUCCUGAUUUUUCUACUGCUGCUCGGAAAGCACGUAAAUGUCGGUCCUGCGCCUGAUCUCCUUCCGGUCGUGUCGGCUUGCCGUCCCAUCGGGUUAUGAGAGUGAAGGAAUAGGGAGUGCACCUGUGUCUGCGCAAAUGCUCGUGCACUAUAAUAUGUCCUGCGCAGCUGGCUGAUCUCCUUAAAUGAGAACAGCCGCCGUGGCCGAAAUCGGCCGUGGACGCCAUUAUUACUACUGCUGCAGUCUUGGGGACAGCGGCUCGCUCUCUGCGCCGCCGUCUUUGGGCCUUCAUUUUGGCCGCUUUGGCCGCCCUCCGUCUCUUUCUUCUCCCCCACCACCUGCCACUCAGACUCAGUGGCAGGAAGGUAGGGGCCGCAGAUGGAGUCGGCUUCGGAAGGCAUUUCGCCGCCACUGGUGCCGACGGGACCGGUGCCGCUAUUGGCACCGGGGUCCUCUGCGCCCGGACCGCAGUUGCGGCCUUGGGGUUUGGCUGGGCGGCCCGUUCGGCGUCGCGACAGGGGGCUUACUCGGCGGUCCCCUUCUGGGCGGGGUAGCCGCUGCAGCCGCAGCCGCAUAAGAGGCCCUUUGGGCCGCUGGGGGCUUCGGCGCUGCGAGGGGGGGGAAGGGGGGGCGCAGAACCCUGCCUUCCAGGACGGAGAAGCGUGCCUGGAAGGCCGCCAUCUUCUGUCGCACCAGGGCCAGGACCUGGCUCUCCACCGGGGAGGACUGCGGUUGCUGCCUGCCGCGUUCAGGGAUGUGUCCCUAAAGCACCUCAAGGCCAAUCGGCAGAGGGCGAUAGUUUCGGCAUCCGCCUCUAUAAUUGCGGCAGCUGAAGAAAGCUUCGGCCAGGCUCCAAAGAGCGAUCUGGUCAAGCUACAAGAAGAGGUGGCUCGUCUCACGGCCGCCCUGGAGUCGAUCCUGAAGGAGAACAGGAGUCUCCGGGCAGACUUGAGAAAAAUGAGAGAGUAGGAGGCCGAACGCAGCGGAAACAGAGGUCGCUGCGGUCGACCUCCGAGGUGCAACGGACACCCACAUGAUGCCAGACUCGGCAUCGGAAGCACCUCAGCGGUCUGGGGUCAAGCAGCUUGACUUGCGCCGACACCCAGCCAACCAGCAGUCUUCGGCCGUCUACGAUGGUCUUGGCCGCCGCCACGGGGCAUCUCACCGUAAUGGUCCUCAUGCCCCUGAAGUCGGGACGUAUGGUGCCCGCCUUAACUUCAUCGGCGGAGCAUCCACCCGUCCUAGCGACGGCGGCCACCAUCUCCGCAGUGACUGAGUCGUCCAGGCCCAGGAUGCGCAGAUCUGCGCACUUGUAGGGCCUGGAGACUCGGGAGCCAUCCGCAUUUAUGGUCGCCCUGAGCCUCUCGGCUAGAGCGUCUGCGGCGGGCCCGCUGACCGCUCCCGGGACCUCCACCAUUCGGGCGCCCGUUGCGGUCACCCUGAGCCGAAGGCCCUCGGUGAUGCCCAGCUCGGCUAGGCUCCUUAGCUUUCCUCCUUAGCUUUAGCGAGCACGUCGCGGUACGACACGCCCCUCUUGACCGCGUCCGGCUGUAGCGUGAGUACUACUGCUGCAGUCUUGGGGGCGCAGAGUUUCGCUGCCGUCUUUGGACCUUCUUUUUGGCCCUUUGGCCGCCCUCCGUCUCUUUUUCUUCUCCCCCACCACUUGCCACUCAGACUCAAUGGCAGGAGAGGUAGGGGCCGCAGACGGAGUCGGCUUCGGAAGGCGUUUCGUCGCCACUGGUGCCGACGGGACCGGUGCCGCUGUUGGUACCGGGGUCCUCUGCGCCCGGACCGCAGUUGCGGCCUUGAGGUUUGGCUGGGCGGCCCGUUCGGCGCCGCGACAGGGGGCUUGCUUGGCGGUCCCCUUCUGGGCGGGGGUGCCGCUGCAGCCGCGGCCGCAGCCGCAUAAGAGGCCCUUUGGGCCGCUGGGGCUUCGGCGCCGCGAGGGGGGGGGCUCAGAACCCUGCCUUCCAGGACGGAGAAGCGCGCCUGGAAGGCCGCCAUCUCCUGUCGCACCAGGACCAGGACCUGGCUCUCCACAGGGGAGGACUGCGGUUGCUGCGGAGUGGUCUCGCUGCGUUCGGCCUCCUGCUCUCUCAUUUUUCUCAAGUCUGCCCGGAGACUCCUGUUCUCCUUCAGGAUCGACUCCAGGGCGGCCGUGAGACGAGUCAUCUCUUCUUGUAGCUUGACCAGAUCGCUCUUUGGAGCCUGGCCGAAGCUUACUUCAGCUGCCGCAAUUAUAGAGGCGGAUGCCGAAACUAUCGCACUCUGCCGAUUGGCCUUGAAGUGCUUUAGGGACACAUCCCUGAACGCGGCCGCCACUGUCUUGGCGAAAUUGGCUCUACGCUCCUGGUCGGAGCCGACGGCCGCCGCGUCCUCCUCGGAAGAGCUUUGUUGAGCUGCUCCUCCGUUGUCCUUGGGUGCCUCAGCUUCCCUCUCUUUAACGGUCUCCGGUCGGCCUUUUUGGUCGAGGCCCCGCGGCCACCGGAGGAAGACCCCUGGUCGUCUUUCUUCCUCUUAAGGAACCCCUUGAGCCGGUGCUCCUUCUUGUUUUGGGGGACCCUGAGAUCACCCGCAGCUCCAUCGCUGGAUGCGGACUCGCAAUCCGAGACCGCAUCCCACUCCCUGUCGUCAUCUUGGUUUUUUUCUAACAAAAAAUUGAGAUCAAAACAAUAAUUUAAAAAAUGUGAAGAGUAAAUUAAACUUAAGUGUCCAUAUAAACUAGAUUGGUAUUACCUAUUUAAGAAUUCGUUAAGAUUAUAAUAACAGUUUUCUAUUAAAUAUUUUUUUUAUGAAAUUUAAAUUUUGUAAGUGGUAACUGUUUAAUAGAUUUAGGUAUUUCCUGAUUUUUCUAUUUCCUCUCCUAUUGCUGUUAAUGGCGUAGAGUGGUGCAAGUUUUUAAUUACAAUUCUACAACAUCUUUUUUCUUUUUGUGUGAAGGAAUGGCGUCUGAGUCCAUUCUUUCGAAUAAUUUCAACUGUGUCCUUGUACACCUCAUGGGUUUCACCAUCAAUCUGAGCUGAUUUCUGUUUACUAUUCUAUAUGAAUAGCUACCAGGCGGUACUGAGCUGUUGAGUAGUUCAGUGAGCUGAGUUAGGUCCAUUAUUCCAUACAGUAUUAUCGGCGGUGGUUUGCUUACCCUUUUAGUGGGCUUAAUGUUUUCCAAUAUUUCACCGGUCUCCUCUGUUAAGUCGAUUGGUUCCACUGUAUCUAUUAGAGGUGUUGAUGGAGUCCUGUGGAUCAGUCUUUACAUUAUUUUCAUGUGGUGGACUUUCGGACAUCUUUCUUUUCUUGGAGUUUGAUUUGGUGGGUACUCUUGGCCAAGUGGGGGGGGGGGGAGCAAAUGUUAUUUCCACUCUCGUUUUUGGAUGGCGGUGUAGGUGGUUUAUUUACACCCUUGGUAGCGGUAGCUGGAAAAAUGUUUCCUAGCGAGGAAGAUCUAGGUCCAGUAUUGAAGAGGCUUGGGUGAAAUGCCUGCUGAACAAAAUUUUUCCUUGUACUUGUACUGCCAGUAGCAUUUACCGUCGCAGGAGCCUGGCCGUCCACUCCUGUGUGGUCUUCGGUAGCCAAUUUCUCACUCACAGGCCCGGAAACCUGCGAUCGCCGGGUUUUAGCCGGAUCGCAUGACAAAUUCUCUUCAUAAUCGCUCAUAAUUCAUAUUUAAACGGUGGGGCAUACUCAUAGCGCUUUCCCAAGGUACUAUGGUUACACUUUUUGAAGGGAUUUAAUCCUUCAAGGCUUGCAAGUAGCCGGUGGACAGGUUAUUGACCGCCGCCUGUUGCUCGCCGUUAUCGUUGCUUAUUUUGCACCACCCGGGGGACACGUCUAGCGUGGGCCUAGGAAGAGGUGGUAAAUCCUACGGACGCAAGCAACUGUAUCUCCCUUCUGAAUUUAUUUAUUUUAUUUAUUUCUCAUCAUCAAGUACAAGAAUAUGGUAGUACACGUUUCAUUGGAUAUAGAGACUGGUGUCUGUGGUAGGUUGAUCCUGUAUCCUGUAACACCAGGCUUACCCUCCGCCGGAACAAAUCUUAAACUAUUGAGAUCAGUUAAUGAGAAAAUAAUUAAAAUUAAACUGGGAUUACUGACUUAUAUUAUUUAUGCAAAGAAAAUCUUGCGGUUCUCCGGGAGUUUACUAAAAGUACUUUGCUUACGCGCGCGGGUUUAUAUUUGUAAUUAAAUUAACAUUGCGAAUAUUUCACAAUAGAUACUUUAGAAUAAUUAUGGCAAAUAGUUCCACUAAUUUCCACUAAUGAUUUUUGGAUAAACUGUGACAUUCACGUCAUUGUUUCAAAGUGAAUGUGAACUGAGUGACCCUUUUCAAAGUUGUUAAAACUUAGGAUAAGUGUACUAGUUUACUUUUUUUUAUUUAGGUUGUAUAUUUGAAGACUUGCUAUAGUUAUCGGCACGGAUAUUGAGCUCUCGGUGGAAGAGUGGGGACCGCUUUGCGCACUGUACACAAGGCAAUAAACCAAUAAAUCGCUUCUGCGCAGGUGAAGGUCAUAGCCCAAUAUCCGUGCCGAUAACUAUACUAAGAGUGUACUUGUGGUAUAAUUUUAUAAGGAAACCAGCACCAAAGGCUUAUAUAAAAGUGAACAUUUAUUUAUCGAAACUUUUGUAAGAGGUACCAAAUAAAGAUAUCAAAAUUCA
rnacentral:lncRNA from 1 species